CGGCGGCCAGAUCCACCCCCUCCCUCAUCUCCUCGCUGCCGCCACCUCCUCCCCGUCCUGCAGCGGCGCGUCCCGCCACCACCUCCUUCCUCGAUGAGUCCCGCAGCGACGCCCAUCGCGUCCCGCAGAUGCCGUCCCUCUCCCUCAAUCGAGGCGUGCGCAACCACCUCGCGGCGCGACGCGUGCCACGGCGCGCGCGUACGUGUGCGUUGCUGCACUAAACAAAAGGGCCGUCCCUCCCAUCCCAUCGCCGCCGACAGAGCGCACCCACCUCCACCUCCGCCUCCAUUCAUUCGUGGAGAACCGAUUCCCGGCGCCACCGGCCGACUCUCCGUCACUUUCCCUAAGGAGGCGCCGGUACCGGAUGUCGGAGGGGUCGAUUCCUAAGGAGGCGGUGUACCAGAUCAUCAGCGACGAGCUGAUGCUGGACGGGAACCCGCGGCUGAACCUGGCAUCCUUCGUCACCACCUGGAUGGAGCCCGAGUGCGGCAAGCUCAUGAUGGACUCCGUCAACAAGAACUACGUCGACAUGGACGAGUACCCAGUCACCACCGAGCUCCAGACCAGGAAAUGAAAGAUCGCUCGACAAACGGCCGCUUCCAGUCAGUUGGAUCUGAUCUUAUACCCGCACACGAGAGCUACCGGAGCAGCAACAGAUUAACAAGGACCCAAGCUGGACUCCCAAGUUCUUCGGCUCAAGGCGCUAAGGUGUUGGAGACGUGCCUGUACUUGUUGAGCGUUUUAUCUGUAGAGUGCUAUAUUGUGAUUGGUGUAAUAUUGUAUGGCUAUAUUGUGAUUGGUGGAAUGUAAUAAACUUGAUUGGUAUAUUG